rnacentral:tRNA from 1 species
GAGCCUGCCCGGAAUAGUGAGAACUGCUAACUACUCACCACAUGGUUCAACUCCAUGCUCG